rnacentral:lncRNA from 1 species
CGGCCUGCCACUAUAUUGGCUUUAUCGAUUAUUUUUUCCAGGUCGAUGAGCCACUAUAGUGGCUCACACGGAGACAGAUAGCGCGCAUCAUCUCUUCUGCAGCAGAAGAUAAAACAGUUGCAGAAGAGUAAUCAAAGCAGACAAAUAUUUAGAUAAA